rnacentral:rRNA from 1 species
UACAGAAGGCAGCUACACGGCGACGUGAUGCUAAUCCCCAAAACCUCUCUCAGUUCGGAUUGGAGUCUGCAACCCGACUCCAUGAAGCUGGAUUCGCUAGUAAUCGCGCAUCAGCCACGGCGCGGUGAAUACGUUCCCGGGCCUUGUACACACCGCCCGUCAAGCCAUGAAAGCCGGGGGGUACCUGAAGUCCGUAACCGUAAGGAGCGGCCUAGGGUAAAACUGGUGACUGGGGCUAAGUCGUAACAAGGUAAC